GUUCGUAUAAAAGAAUUCGUUCCCAAACGCAGCAGAAUCAAUGGAGGUUCAGUCUUGGAUAGUCGGAUUUCUCAAUCGAUCCAUUUCCGCCAGAAGCUCGAAAAAUUUCCUGUGUCUGUUCUUAGCCUCUAUUGGAGCCACCCAUCACAAGGAUCAACUGAAGAAGAUGAAUAUCAGUCACAUUUUAACCAUUCCUUGUUCCUUUCCACCGCUGAUCCAAAUGAUUUUAUAUAUAAAACAGUUGGUGGUAUGUAAAGUUCCAAGUGCUAUUUGGUGCAACAAACCAUUUGCUACGGACAUGUCCUGUAACUUCAUAGUUUUACCCAAUCUUUGUUGGAAGUUGCUAUUAGGGACCUCAAACGUUUUCCCUAUGGGCCUAUAUACAACGCCUUAAAGAAUGAUUCAAUCUCCAUUUUUCACAACCAAAGAGUAGGAUUAAUUCGUUCCCAGCUGCAUCUUCAGAAAAUAGAACUGUUUCCACAUGCCAUUGUUUAUGUAGGAUAUUCAUUAUCUAUCUUAUAAUACCCAGAACGAUUUCUGGUAUC